AUAAUACUCCAUAGAUUAGAGACACUGGAAUGUUCUUUAGUCGAAAGUUCUGGCGCCUUAGGAUGGAUCUGCGGUCGAUUAGGUUGUUGUUGGGGUAACGGCCCAACAAGCCUGUAAUCGAUACGGGUUGUGGGAGCAAGAGCCCGGAGAUGGAAUCUGAGACACGAUUCCAGGCCCUACGGGGCGCAGCAGGCGCGAAAACUUUACAAUGCAGGAAACUGUGAUAAGGGAACUCCGAGUGCCCGUAUACGCGGGCUGUCCAGGUGUUUAAAAAUCAUCUGCAGAAAGGGCCGGGCAAGACCGGUGCCAGCCGCCGCGGUAAUACCGGCGGCUCGAGUGGUGGCCACUAUUAUUGGGCUUAAAGCGUCCGUAGCUGGACCGAUAAGUCUCUUGGGAAAUCCGCCGGCUCAACCGGCGGGCGUCUAAGGGAUACUGUUAGUCUAGGGACCGGGAGAGGUGAGAGGUACUCCGGGGGUAGGAGUGAAAUCCUGUAAUCCCCGGGGGACCACCGAUGGCGAAGGCAUCUCACCAGAACGGCUCCGACAGUGAGGGACGAAAGCUGGGGGAGCGAACCGGAUUAGAUACCCGGGUAGUCCCAGCCGUAAACUAUGCGCGUUAGGUGU
rnacentral:rRNA from 1 species